rnacentral:rRNA from 1 species
CAAUAGCGUAUAUUAAAGUUGUUGCGGUUAAAAAGCUCGUAGUUGGAGUUCUGCCAGGUGCCGCCUGUCCGCCCCAGUGGUGAGUACGUGGCGCGCAUUUGGCCCUUUCAAGGGGAGCGUAUCUGCACUUUAUUGUGUGGUGCGGGAUCCUUGACUUUUACUUUGAGGAAAUAGGAGUGUUCCAAGCAGGCUCUCGUCGUGCACAGCUCAGCAUGGAAUAAUAGCAUUGGACCUCGAUUCUAAGCUGUUGGUUGCCAGAAGCGAGGUAAUGAUGAAGAGGGAUAGUUGGGGGCAUUCGUAUUUAACUGUCAGAGGUGAAAUUCUUGGAUUUGUUAAAGACGGACUACUGCGAUAGCAUCUGCCAUGGAUGUUUUCAUUGA